GUGAAUCAUCAAAUUUUUGAACGCAAAUUGCACUCUCUGGUAUUCCGGAGAGUAUGCCUGUUUGAGGGUCAGUUUAAAUAAAAAUCGGUGUGGUUGCUGCCUUUCGUGGUGACGCACCGGAUAUGUGUCGUCUUGCCUUCGGUUAAGUGACCUAAAAUUUUGCAUGAUUUUUUUUGAUUGUAUUAAAUUUAUUUUACGUUUAUUG
rnacentral:misc_RNA from 1 species